ensembl:rRNA 5S_rRNA 5S ribosomal RNA
GCUUACGGCCAUACCAGCCCAAGAACGCCCGGUCUCGUCUGAUCUCGGAAGCUAAGAAGGCUUGGGCCUGUUAGUACUUGGAUGGCAGACCUCCUGGGAAUACCAGGUGCUGUAAGCU